rnacentral:rRNA from 1 species
UACGUAGGGUGCGAGCGUUGUCCGGAAUUAUUGGGCGUAAAGGGCUCGUAGGUGGUUUGUCGCGUUGUCCGUGAAAACUCACAACUCAAUUGUGGGCGUGCGGGCGAUACGGGCAGACUGGAGUACUGCAGGGGAGACUGGAAUUCCUGGUGUAGCGGUGGAAUGCGCAGAUAUCAGGAGGAACAUCGGUGGCGAAGGCGGGUCUCUGGGCAGUAACUGACGCUGAGGAGCGAAAGCGUGGGGAGCGAACAGG